rnacentral:rRNA from 1 species
AUUGAACGCUGGCGGCAUGCUUUACACAUGCAAGUCGAACGGUAACAGGCCGCAAGGUGCUGACGAGUGGCGAACGGGUGAGUAAUGCAUCGGAACGUGCCCAGUCGUGGGGGAUAACGCAGCGAAAGCUGAGCUAAUACCGCAUACGAUCUGGGGAUGAAAGCGGGGGACCGGAAGGCCUCGCGCGAUUGGAGCGGCCGAUGUCAGAUUAGGUAGUUGGUGAGGUAAAGGCUCACCAAGCCGACGAUCUGUAGCUGGUCUGAGAGGACGACCAGCCACACUGGGACUGAGACACGGCCCAGACUCCUACGGGAGGCAGCAGUGGGGAAUUUUGGACAAUGGGGGCAACCCUGAUCCAGCAAUGCCGCGUGCAGGAAGAAGGCCUUCGGGUUGUAAACUGCUUUUGUACGGAACGAAACGGCUCCGGUUAAUACCCGGAGCUAAUGACGGUACCGUAAGAAUAAGCACCGGCUAACUACGUGCCAGCCGCCGCGGUAACAC